rnacentral:rRNA from 1 species
CGAGCGGAACGAGAAUAGCUUGCUAUUCGGCGUCGAGCGGCGGACGGGUGAGUAAUGCUUGGGAACAUGCCUUGAGGUGGGGGACAACAGUUGGAAACGACUGCUAAUACCGCAUAAUGUCUUCGGACCAAAGGAGGGGAUCUUCGGACCUUUCGCCUUUAGAGUGGCCCAAGUGAGAUUAGCUAGUUGGUGGGGUAAAGGCUCACCAAGGCGACGAUCUCUAGCUGGUUUGAGAGGAUGAUCAGCCACACUGGGACUGAGACACGGCCCAGACUCCUACGGGAGGCAGCAGUGGGGAAUAUUGCACAAUGGGGGAAACCCUGAUGCAGCCAUGCCGCGUGUGUGAAGAAGGCCCUCGGGUUGUAAAGCACUUUCAGUCGUGAGGAAAGGGGUGUAGCUAAUAUCUGCAUCCUGUGACGUUAGCGACAGAAGAAGCACCGGCUAACUCCGUGCCAGCAGCCGCGGUAAUACGGAGGGUGCGAGCGUUAAUCGGAAUUACUGGGCGUAAAGCGUGCGUAGGCGGUUUCUUAAGCGAGAUGUGAAAUCCCGGGGCUCAACCUCGGAACUGCAUUUCGAACUGGGUGACUAGAGUACUGUAGAGGGUGGUGGAAUUUCCAGUGUAGCGGUGAAAUGCGUAGAGAUUGGAAGGAACAUCAGUGGCGAAGGCGGCCACCUGGACAGAUACUGACGCUGAGGCACGAAAGCGUGGGGAGCAAACAGGAUUAGAUACCCUGGUAGUCCACGCCGUAAACGAUGUCAACUAGCUGUCUGUGUACUUGAUACGU